UACGAAGGGGGCUAGCGUUGCUCGGAAUCACUGGGCGUAAAGCGCACGUAGGCGGAUCUUUAAGUCAGGGGUGAAAUCCUGGAGCUCAACUCCAGAACUGCCUUUGAUACUGGGGAUCUCGAGUCCGGGAGAGGUGAGUGGAACUCCGAGUGUAGAGGUGAAAUUCGUAGAUAUUCGGAAGAACACCAGUGGCGAAGGCGGCUCACUGGCCCAGUACUGACGCUGAGGUGCGAAAGCGUGGGGAGCAAACAGG
rnacentral:rRNA from 1 species